rnacentral:rRNA from 1 species
AUGGCUGGUGGGGUUGAAUCUCAGUGGUCCAUACGUGUGUUUGAAAGAUUUGAGCGUUCUGUGGUGCGACUGAACCAUGGAGGUCUUUUUCUUGGCACCGGCUUCGUUGUUUACUGGGACGAGUCCCGGGCGUGCCUCAUAAUAACAUGCCAUCAUGUUGUUUCGCGUGUACCGAUGAGUGAAAUCCUGGAUGCUUACUUCUCUGGGAACACUAUACCAUCUGCUGUGCGCAUAGUUCGUCGCGGCAACGACAUCAAAGACCUUGCUUUGCUUUGGGUCCAACGCAUGUCUAGCCAAGUCACCAGACCUCCCGUUGUUAUGGACUUCUUCCAGCAUCCAGUGGCACCGGGAUGGGACGUUGUUCUGCUUGGCUAUAACGUUUUGCGUAAUAAUUUUAUCCUGGAGCCCUCAACCUGUUCCCCGUCAACCAAUACACAUAUCAAAUAUAGUUGCACAAGCACUGGAGGCAUGUCUGGGUCACCUAUUGUCCUGGCAGGAGUAAACAAAGUCGUUGGGGUGCAUUUCAUGAGCAGUGGAUCGACUGGGUAUGCGAUUUGCACCCAAGCUAUAAGAGAAUACUUAGAAGAAUAUUUACACAUGGACAACCUAUCGAUCCAUGAGCUGCUUGCCAUAGCUGCUGAAGCAACAUGA